rnacentral:tRNA from 2 species
GGGGGAGUAGCGAAGUGGCUAAACGCGGCGGACUGUAAAUCCGCUCCUUCGGGUUCGGAGGUUCGAAUCCUCUCUCCCCCA